rnacentral:rRNA from 1 species
UACAGAGGGGGCAAGCGUUGUUCGGAAUUACUGGGCGUAAAGGGCGCGUAGGCGGCCUUCUAAGUCGAACGUGAAAUCCCUGGACUCAACCCAGGAACUGCGUCCGAUACUGGAAGGCUUGAAUCCGGGAGAGGGAUGCGGAAUUCCAGGUGUAGCGGUGAAAUGCGUAGAUAUCUGGAGGAACACCGGUGGCGAAGGCGGCUGCCUGGGCCUGGCCUGACGCUGAGGCGCGAAAGCGUGGGGAGCGAUCCGG